GUGUGUGUGUGAGCCACGUUUACAUCCACACGUGCACACAUCACACAUUUGAUGUCUCGGCCUUAGCUUAGCAUGCUAACAUAUGUUCAUUAGCAGCACCCACAGCGUGCUGAUGGGAACGUUUCACACGUGAUGGGUCAUAAAUGUUGUCCUGCUAGUGGAGCUACAGGAGAAGCUUUUACUUCAACACUCGACCAGAAUGAACUCUGACAAGUCAGUGUUUCCUGCGGCGACGCCCCGGUGACGACUGCUGAGACCUGAUCCGAGUCUGGGAGUCGUUCUGCUCUGUCGCCAGUCAGCAGAGGCUGCUGUGUGCAAACAGGAUGCGGACGUGAAGCUCUCAGGUUCAGCUGCAGACCCGCUGCUGAACAGCGAGAUGUGUGACGCCUUUGUGCUCGUCCUCCACCCCGAGAGUCCCAACGCUCCGCAUGUCCUGGAUGAACGGAUGACAUCACAUCCACCUUAUCAGUCUGGAAGCCGGUGCUGCAGCUGAAGCUGUUUUCCGUUCAGGCAGCCUGUGGGGGACACGUGUUCUGCUUCUGCUCUGUGCAUGCAAACGGUACUCAGUGAUGAAGCGGUCGGGACGGGAAACGUUGACUCGCCGGCGCGCUCUGUUGGAGCAGGGACUCGACCGAUGACACAACUUCCUGUCUGCAGGCAGAAAGCUGCAGGCUGUGGCUCUUGAAAAUCAGUGUUUUCCCGUGCGUCUUCCCUCUCUGCUCUGUCAGGCAGCCGUUUUAAUCCCAGACUCUGUGACUGGCAGGCUCAUUACAGCCGAGCUUCAAACGCUGACGAGGGAAAGAAUCGAGUGCCGCCGUGACAAAUACAGAGCGCAGACUCAUCACAGGGUUUCUUAACGGCCCGACCAGAGAGGUUCUCCAUGAGCGCCCGUUCGAGUGUGUGUGUGUGUGAGUGUGAGGCACAGAGGGAGGGUGCCAGCCUGAGAGAGUGUUUACAGGCUGGAGUUUUGUGACAGCCGUGGGAAAUGAAAUUCCCUCGGACUGAUGGAUAUUAAUGCACCCAAAAAUUCUGAGUUAACUGCAAAGUUAAGACUGUGUGUGACCUGUGUUAUGUAAGUGUGUGCGUGUGUGUGAUGGCUUCAGCUUUAAGUCUGCUAUUCACACUGUGCUGGUGGUCCUGACAGCUGUAAUCCAUCUUCUGACGAGACGUUCGGGAGCAGAAGGAAUCCAGGCCGCCGUAAAGUCCUGCACUGAACAGGAAGUUUUUCUGCAGGAGUUCUGUUGGUGUGUGUGUUCGGGGUGUGUCGGCGUGUCUCAGCGCUUUGGUCACAGCAUCUCGGCCGCUCGCGUGUCAGCUGCUUUCAGACGGUUUGAAAACAUGCGUAUCAGCGAGACACAAGAGAACAAAUGUGACCGACUGUGACACGAUUUCUAUUGGUGUUCAUGAAUUGAACGUGAGAGAUAAUGGUGUGUGUGUGCGUGUGUGUGUUGCACAGUAGUAUGAUUAAUUCAACACUGUCCCUCUACCUUUUCCUGGGGUCACCUGGCGAUGCUGUUCAGUCGUCACAGUGAAGUGAAAGUCGUCCUGCGCCGCCGCGGCCUCGCCGGAUCGACACGGGAGCUGAUCGCUCCGUCGCUCUGCUCAGCGUCUGACGUGUUCCCUGAGGCUGCUGAUCCUGAACGGCGUGCCGAGUCCCCCCUCAGACCACCACGACCACACAGACUGUCACACACACACACGCUUACGCAUCACCGAACUGAACUUUUACACCCCAAGUUAUCGUGUGAAAUCCUCCUCACGGCGAGCAGAUCUGCUCCUUCACACACGGCUGGCUGCUGUGAACUGUGAGGCCCGGCAGCUGGUCCACUCCGCACUCGUCAAACCCUCCUCUCACUUUCAUCUGGUGGGCCUGCGGGGCGCUUUUAUUGUGAAGGAGCAGCUUUAAUCUGCCUCAUCAGCAUACGUGAGUGUUGCUUCCUGGUGGGUUUUCUUACACUGCGAGCGUCUCUCUCCCUCGUUUCCAAUUUUGUUGUUCUUUCAUGCAAAUUUUCUUUGUUAUCUUUAAUUUAUAUCCCGUAUUUUUAAAUCAUUUGUGAGCGUCUUGUUUCUGUGGUCGACUUUAUCAAACGAGACGAGUUGAAGCCUUCCUGCACCUGCAGCUUGAGGCGAGUUUGGCGGGCAGGUCAGCAGCUCACCUGUGGGCAGGUUUCAGUGCUUCAGUGUUUUUCCUCUGGAACAGAAAGUGUCCCCGCAGGGAUCCUUCCUGUCAUGUGAUCAGGUGUAGCUGUGACGUCAGCGUUGCCCCAAAGCAUGACGCUGCAGGACCAGCUCCAGCACCAGGCAGAAAGUUGAGUGUCUUCCAGACCCUGCAGGACGGACAAGACGUCCCCUUCGGCGAUGGUGAUCCACGUGGUCCUGAGCGCUGAAGCAGACUCAUAAACCGUGACUGGCAGCCUGUGAGUUCAUGUGGACCUCGGGAAAAACCGGCGCUGGCUUUGGCGUCUCCGUCCUCUGUGUUCUGUGGCACGAAUGAGGACACAUCAGGUUUAUGCACGACUGGCACACGUCCGUCCAGUCAGGCUGAAACAGGAUUUGUUGUGUCCACAAGUCGUAUUAACUGCAGUGUGGCGUGUUGCUGCUGAGGUAAGCGAAUAACUGGAGCGUACGCACAGCAUCACGUUUGCUCUUUUGUUAUUCACUUUGUGCAUGCACCAAUGAGGACUCACUCCAGCUUCACACCACCACCCAGCAGGUGGCAGCAGAGAGGGACGGGCUCCCUCCUGACCAGCUGGACGAGGAAGAGGAAGAGCUCAGACAUUUAUUCUGAAAGGAUGUGGUUAUAAUGUGAUAACUGUGUGUUUCUUGUGAAAAAGCGACCGCAGACUCGUUGUUGUCCUGCUGCUGGGAUGACUUGGCUAACCGCGUGGAAAACGUCACACGUUAGCUUUUUGUUUCAGUGUUCUUCACUGCGGAUGUCAACAACGGCUGCCAGACGCAAGCAGACCCACAGCCAGCACCAACGAAGAAGAUGACCGUGAAGGAAGUUGAAGGCUGGGUGUGAGUUGGUCUGUAAAAUGCCGCUGCUGCCUGAGCACGUGUGAUCGGACAUGGAGGCCGUCAGCGCAGUCAACGUCACGCAGGACGAUCUCCGCCUCCUGCCCCCACCUCACGUCAACCCUGGUAACUUCAGUUACCAUGACUAUGACCCGAGCGCCGGCGCCGACCCCACGGUUUCGCCCACGCUGGUGUUGGGCGAGGGAGUGACGUUUCCGGAGGACCCCAUCAAACUGCUGAGCGUGCAGGUGGUGCUGAUCCUGGCCUACAGCACCAUCAUCGUGCUGGGCGUUCUGGGUAAUUCUCUGGUCAUCUACGUCAUCUACCGCUUCAAGACGCUCCGCACCGUCACCAACUUCUUCAUCGCCAACCUGGCUGUUGCCGACCUGCUGGUGAACACGCUGUGCCUCCCCUUCACCCUCGUCUACACCCUGCAGGGGGAGUGGAAGUUCGGCAGCACCCUCUGCUUCCUGCUGCCCUACGCCCAGGGGCUCGCCGUGCACGUCUCCACGGUAACGCUCAACGUCAUCGCCCUGGACCGCCACAGGUGCAUCGUGUACCACCUGGAGACCAGGAUGCGUAAAGACGUGUGUUUCGGGGUGAUAGCGCUGACGUGGGUGCUGAGCGCCGUGCUCGCCAGCCCUCUGGCCAUCUUCAGAGAGUACGGCUCCUUCAGUCUGGAGCCGGGACACACCAUCCAGGUGUGCACGGAGAAGUGGCCCGGGAAAAACACUGACGGGACCAUCUACAGCAUCUCUAUGUUGAUCCUGCAGUACUUCCUGCCACUGUCCAUCAUCUCCUUCGCCUACGCCCGCAUCUGGUCCAAACUGCGUGGCCAUGUCAGCCCGGCGGAGAAUGUCGGCAGCAACGCCGGAUCCGAGCGCCACCGCCGGCGCCGCAAAACCACCAAAAUGCUGGUGACCAUGGUAGUGGUGUUCGCCGUCAGCUGGCUGCCCUUCCACGCCUUCCAGCUGGCCACGGACAUCGACAGCAAGGUGCUGGACAUGCGCGACUACCGUCUGCUGUACACCGUCUUCCACGUGGUCGCCAUGUGUUCCACCUUCGCCAACCCGCUGCUGUACGGCUGGAUGAACCGCAACUACCGCGCCGCCUUCCUCGCCGUCUUCAAGUGUCGCAGGGCAGGGGACAGGGGUGGCAGACUGGACAGCAUUCAUCCCGUUGGAGGUAGAGGAGGAGGAGGAGGAGGAGGAGGAGGGAAAGGAGGGAGAGCGAAGAAGAUAGUGCUUGAAAACCAGGAUGUGGUGACCACGCACUUGAAUGCCACUGAUGUGUGAAGGCCUGAGGGAGGUGGAAAUGAAGAGGGUGAUGGAGGAGAAGGCAGGGGGGAGACAAGGAAAUGAUGAGGCAGGGAGGAAAAGAGAAUCACUGUCAGGAAAUCUUUUGUUCCCCAAAAGACAAAAGACGUGAGAAGGAAACAAGAUUGCACACAGAGACAGAAACAACGAGGAGAUAAAGAUGUGAAUGAAAAUAGAAACGACACAGUGGGAGGGAGGCGACGGGGGGGAUUAAAGAGUUUUUGGAAGACCGAAAUAGAGGAGGAGGCGUAGAUGAGCAGGGAUUGGAAGAAGAGUGACAGGAGAGGAGCUGCUCAGUGACUCGGGGUCUCCUCCACCAAUCGAGACGUCGUCGCUUUGGGGACGUGAGACCAUCAUGGCGGAGGAAUCCAGCAUUUUUGGUGAGCAUUUGCUCAAGUGUUUUUCAGUUUGAUAAGAAGGAUCUGUGAUACCGACUCAGCAGCAAAGUUUGUUCCCAAAAGAGAGAGAGAGCGUGACUCUGGUUUAAGGGACACACAGUGAGAAACGUGCAUUGUUUUCAAAAAGAUUCGUUUCCUCGACAACAAGGAAAAAACAUAUUUUACAACAAGCUCUGACUGUAACGCAGUUCUUGCCUGAAUAGGGCUUUACUGCAUCUUCAUUCCAAGUGUGAAGCAUUUAGCUCGUACAUUUAACCCAGCGUGGCUUACAAACGGGGACAUGAGGACGCGUGGACAGGCUGUGGGGAUUGAACCUGCCACAUUUCAGCAGCAGCUUCACCGUGAGGGAUGUGAGCCGUGCAAAAACCCAAACCCAACGCAAAUCACGGACUCUCCAGACGAAGUCGAGGAGGAUGCAUGACGCAAACUUUGUGAAAUUGCAGAUUCUUUGUUAUGUGGUGAAAUUGUGUGUUUCGCUGUGGAUCAUCCUGCAAAAGAAAGCCUGCUGACGUAGCACAUGAAGGACAGAGUAAAGAAUGAGAGACGGGGACAGAUGGGCUAAAAAGCAGAUGAGAGGAUCAGGAGAGGAGAGGAAAGAGUGAAAUGUGGGACAAUGAGCCAAAAGAACAACAACAGCUUGUUCCAACAAGAGAGAUUUCAAACGAACCGGCCGCAAUGCAGGGAAGAUCCUUUCUUUAAGGCGAACAGAUGAAUGUUUGACCAAAAACUCGAGUGAUUUAUUUCUUCACUGUUUUCUUUUCUGAUCAUUCUGGCAGCUGUUUUUCAGGUAAAAGGGAACAGACUGAACUGCAGUUGAGAUUUUAAAUGUUUCAAAGAGUAAGUUUGUGAUUUGACAAGUCCAAGUCAUCACAUUAGUCUGAUUUAGUCUUAAAUGUACACCUCUGGGUGAUCAUUAAUGAUUGUUUACAUUGAAAUAAUAGUAUAAAGAAGCCCAGACAGGCAAGUGAAAAAAAAAAAAGAAGUGAAACAGUAUUUUCAGUGUUUGUUUUUGUACUGCUCAUUUUGGCCACAAGGGGCACCACUGCUCUCCGCUCUCCAGCUUCAACUUCUCUAUGCACUCUGAACACAACGUACGUAUAAUUUGUGCCAACAAGCUACUUUGUCAGGACUUUCUUUUGGCUAGAAGUCUAUUUUAAUCAGCGCUUUGCAAUGUUCAACAAGCUCUCUUAGCUUUCAAAGACGACGUUAGCCGCUGAACAACAAUUUGUUGCUGCUGCUGCACUUCUUCACUUCUUCAGCUCAGGGUCGUUUGAGCUCUGAAGUUAGUGAAGUUAGCGUGAAAUAUUAGCUUAUUGCAGGCCUUGAACAGCCACACAGAAUGGAUGUUUAGGGCCAUUUUCUCAUAGGCUUACACGUAAUUGACUUCUUUUUGAAACCGGUGGAGUUGCCCCCUGCUGGACGUUAGAAAGAACACACGUUCAAAGCACUUCUGCAUUGGCGUCACUUUUCAGACCAGCAAGUUCUAUCCAUACAGUCCAUACCUACGGCUUAUAGACCCUUUACAAAUGGUGCCUUGUGGGCCUUUUCAACUGCAGGAACUGAUCAAACCAUCAAUUAGUUUACGUAUGUCCCGUCACAGGUUCUGCUUUUGUUUCCGCUGUGUGAGUCAAAGUUGAACCCAAAGGUCAGCACUGCUGCUCAGGUGAUACCCAGUCCAAGUUCCUGGUACCCUACUCAAGAAAACUAGAAAAACUAGCAGUAAAGUUUGCUCCAGAUUCACCUUUUCAGGAAGGUAUAACCAAAAUGCUCAGACGUGUGCAGCGUAGUGCAGACAGACUGCAGAAAGUAGAACCAAGAAAGUUCUUUAAGGUUCAUGUUAUGGGUUGUGCAGAGAUGCUAAUAAAAAUUGUACCCAAAUAACAUAUUUGCAGUUAGAUGCUGAAUGUCAGGCGUCCCUGAGAAUAUUUCCACUUCCUCCCAGUCAUAUUGAUUUAUUUGCUGCUGCCUGCCGUGCCCUCAUGCGCUGGUGUAGAUGCUCCCUGACAGACUGAAUUCAUUAACUGUCAUGGAUGACGUGCAGGGAAAGAGACGUUUUGACAGGAGCACCGACUGUCUUCAGCAGCUCCACUCGCUGCUCACAUUAUUGUGAUUGUUACACAAAGAAAUCAUGACAUUACGUCUUAAUUGAAAGGUUCCAAAUCAAAGCUGUUGUUCCCGAUGUUUUCGCAAACGGAUCGUUUCAUUAAACUUUGAUUGCCCAACUGCAAUUAUAACCUCGGCCUCCCUCUGGCAGGCGCAGUGUCAACAACUUAAUUCAGUAGGCUGAGUAACGACCUGCAAACACUUUGCAUAAUGUGAAUGAAUAUUACAGCAGCUAUUAGUUUAAACUGUGUGCCGACAAAAGGAAGCUGAUCACUGUAAAGCUUUAAAACCAGACGCGUGGCUUGUAUGCGGGGAUCAAACGCUUGGCAGGUGAAAUCCUUCAUUUUUUUGGGCUUAGCCUCUGUGUCCCUCUCUUGUCUUUUCCUCUUUAAAUCCUUCAAUCCCCCCCUCUGCUGCAUCACUGCCUCGCCCGACCUGCAAUCCCACAAUCCCUCUGUUCCCUCCCCCCGAACCUCACCAGCUGUUCAUCUCCGUCCUCGUUUCAGCGCCUCGUCUGUCUCCUCUCUUUUCCUGUGAAGUCCAAGGCCCGGCCGAAGAUAAGAAUAAUAGUAAAAAUGUCUGUUUUGUGUUGGUUUCAAACAUUCUUCACAGAAGCAACGGCUGCUGAGUUAUUACUGUAAAAACUACAGCUUCCAACUGUUAAAAGAGCCGAGAUGUUAUCAGAAAUCAGGCACAACCGUUUUCUCAGCAAAGGACUCCAGAUUUUAAGACCAAACCAUAAUGUGCUUUAGCUCAAUGACAGCAUCCAGAGUUUUAAUCCCCGGAUUUGAGUUGGAAGUUUUCACGGUCGGCUUUUGAACGGCGUUAUGUUUUGAGUUGAAGCAGUUCAAAUGGAGGUUCAAUUUGAUGUCACCUGGUGUUCAGCGAAUCCCCAAAGCCGUCCCACGAUGCAGUGCGUCGAUUCGACAUCGACGUCCAGGAUUUUGAACUUAAAAGUUUAUUGGAGCAUUUUGAGGACGCACAGCAGAUUCUCCAGGUUAAAACAGCAAUACAGAAGAGUUAGCAAACGUCCUGUUCUCAGAGAAAACACAUCAGUGGUACAAACUGAAGCGGAGACGUGGACUCAACUCGCCAAGUUGUGUUCAUGGAACUGGAGUCACCAGUUUUCUGUAUAGCAACUCACACAUCAUCCAAAGUAGAAUUACAGUACGACGAGGGAACGUUUUCUCAAAGCUUCAACACAAUUUGGUCCUCAGUCAUUCAUAUUCAACUAUUUUACACCAUCGCUGCUCUCAGUCACAGUUUUAACAGUGCAACAGAAAACGUCUGCUUUUCGUUUAGCAGUUGGCCCAAAACAAACGUGGCCAGGAGUUUCUGUCUUUGUCAUUCCCUGUACUCCUGAGCUAACUCCCCUGGAAACAAAAUUCAAGUGAGUUACUAGUUAGCAGUCUUGCUAGUAAACGUGAAAUGGAAGACCUGCUGGUCCUGUUAGCGUUUAUCUCCAGUCUGCAUUCACACUGAAAAGUCGUUUUUGGUCAUUUUGGUCAUGACUCAAAAUAAAGUACAAUCCCCAUGACAACCUCAUUCACUGAACUGCUAGUUAGAGCCACAGGGUCUAGUAACACGUUAGCCAGGUGUGGAGUGACCUGCGGUUGGCAGACAGGUAGAACGACAGGCUGAUGUUAAGGAGAGUAACGCAGCUAAUUUACUAGCAGGCUAACCAGCACAGUAAAUUACGCCCACGAAACGAACACAUUAACGAGUCAGUCUGUGACACCAGCUCGCCGUUCAUGAUGUGGCUAACCUGUGGCUAAGCUAUUAGCACUGUGGGGAAACUGAAUCAGAUGGCAUCAAACUUCUGUGAACCUCACCUGAGGCCCCGCGGUGUGUUUUGUUGGCUUGUUUUCUGUCACCUGAGGAGAAGAAUCUUUGAUCACUUCCUGCUGUAUUGUGACGGGGUUCGAGAUGCGAGGACACAGAUGCUGCUCGACUUUUAUCCACCAUGAAUGUAAACCUCUUUGGUACGCGGCUGUCAUGUUGUCUGUUGUCUGUUGUCUGUAAAUACUGACUGUGUGAAAGACUGUGAGCUGACGCAAGCUGUCGGCUUCAACCUGAACAACAGAUGUACCGUUCUGAAGCACAAACACGCCUCUCGCCUGUUUCUUACUGUGUGUGUGUGUGUGUGUGUGUGUGUGUGUCCUUGGAUAUUUGUGUGGUAACUGUAAAUCUGCAGGAUAAUGGACCAAAGCAUUACAGUAAAGUAAAAAUAUUUUGAAAGGCCAAUAAACCAGAGCUUUGUUGAGUCGAUUUCUUAAUGAUUUAGCUGCAUUAUAACGGCGUUCUGAGUGGCUAUUUGUCAGUCAUCACUAACAUUUACAGCUACAGCCUUCAGAUUUGCUUUAGUACAAAAUGUAUUUGCUUUUACAGGCAUGUUUCUUAUUUCCGUUGGCUGCAGAAAGAAAAAUGUAACAGGAAGCCAUAAUGAUGAUUCCUAAACAGCUGUCACCAAAACACUGAGGCUGGGACAAAUUCAGGUUCCCGUAUUGUUAGUUGUUAUUGAGUAAAGUGAGUCAGUGGGAACGUGUUUGUUGAGUGUGUGCUUUGUAGUUUACACUGAGAUUCCAUCUGCCGUUCUGAAAACACAUCAGAAGCAAAAGUCCAGUCUGAUUUAAAAUUUAAAAAUCAUCGCUGGUCAACCAGGAAGUGAAGCAUUUAAACAAGAGUUUCAGAGCUGAUUUGGGCUGUAAUGUCCUCAGAAGAGACACAAACUGACUGUGUGUGUGUGUGUGUGUGUGUGUGUGUGUGUGUGUGUGUGUUGGGGUCAGGGUUAAUUUGCAUGGUAGCUCUUCCAUCUCCAAAUCUAAUUAGUGAGAGAGCAGAGUUUCUCUAACUUUUCUGUCCUGAUGCAAACAGACGACAGCUCAGUUUCAGUUUGUUUCCCAUCGGCAGCACGAGAUGAAUACAAAUUCAGUCUUGUAUUGGAUUUAAGAUUCAAAGAAAGUUGACUUUAUUUCCACUAUAAUCUUAUUAAAAAACCAUCUGAGAUCCAAAACGUCGGUCCUGUAAGGGGAUGGUGGUUUUGUUUCUGCUCUUUGGAAACGUUUCAUUGAACAAAUAUCAGAAGUUUGACAGCACUGCUGAUGUUUGUACUGGAUUGUACAGCUCAGCACCAGCCAGACCCAGUUCACCUGCAGGUCUUUAUAAAGACACACCGUUAUUGAUGCCUGAUAAGAUACCCCGUUACCCCGUUAUGUAACAGUCUCGUUUGUCUCAAGUGGGAGCAGAAGCUUCGCUGAACAGUUCGUGACCAGCGUUUAACUGACGUUUGACUAAAUAUUCUGCUUACAACGCUGGCUCGCAAUCCAAUCGUGCGGCUCCAGGUGCACUUUGUACCACAUGAAUCACACUGUGUGCAUGUAUGAUAAUUAUAUUGUUUAUCAGUCCCACAUUGCAUGACCUUUAAUUCGAGCUGAGAGCCCUGAAGGCGAGCUUUGGGGCGGCUUUAACAGUUAAAAACAAACACCAGUCAGCCAGUUUAAGUAUGAAGUUUAAAUGGUUUCCCACAUUUAAAUACAUGAAAUGUGCAUUUGUUUUUGUCAGCCAAUAAUUAAAUGCUAAAUAAAUGCUAAUGUGAAUCAGGUCUGU